CGACAGCGGUGAGAUAAUGCCAUUCACCAUCCUGGUACUGCUUAGUAGACGUAUAGAUCAAUCCUCCGAAAUACAGCACCACAAAUCCAUUCUCCAGGGAGAGCUUAAUGAAGUUAUUCUACCACAGAGACAAUGAUAAAUAUAUGAUGAGAAACUUACACAGUGCGUUAUUCAUAUUAAACAUGUUGUUCGUUGGUAACACUUUAGUCUAAAGGCUGAUUUUACUUCUGCAUCAAGCGCACGUGAAUACUACACUCUGUGAUUGGUUGGCUUGGUAGCGCUAACGAGCCGCACGAGCCCGAUGGAGCAGUUAUUUAGAAGUGUAGAGUCCUGUGGAUGACUUUUUAUUAUUUGAAGCUGUUUAAAUUCACAGACAGGUGGCACACAGCUGUGUUUAAACCCAUAUUAAAAGGGAUUUAUGCAUAACAGGUCCUCUUUAAGGCUUACUACUCUCUCUCUCGCUUCAUUUUCCUCUGCAUUUAAGCUCUCUGAGCCACCGUACAUCAACCAAAAGAGUGUGUGCAUGCGAUCGUGAAACAGAUACGCACAUUUUUCUGAUUCUCCAUCAGGAUGCCGUCUGAUUUUGUGCUCCUGAAGCCCAUCGAAAGGUUGACGUCGUCUAACUUGAAGUCUUCACGCAGUUUCUCCAAUGCGCUGCCUGAGCCGAAUUCAGCUUUCCUGACCAUCUGAGAAACUCAUCAGAGCAGCCUCUGCCGAUGCCAACUUUCUCCUCAAUAAAUGGCGC
rnacentral:lncRNA from 1 species